GACGAACGCUGGCGGCGUGCCUAACACAUGCAAGUCGAACGGAGUCAAAAAGCUUGCUUUUUGACUUAGUGGCGGACGGGUGAGUAACGCGUGAGUAACCUGCCUCUGAGAGGGGAAUAACGUUCUGAAAAGAACGCUAAUACCGCAUAACGUAUCGGAGCCGCAUGACUUUGAUACCAAAGAUUUUAUCGCUCGGAGAUGGACACGCGUCCGAUUAGUUAGUUGGUGAGGUAACGGCUCACCAAGACCGCGAUCGGUAGCCGGACUGAGAGGUUGAUCGGCCACAUUGGGACUGAGACACGGCCCAGACUCCUACGGGAGGCAGCAGUGGGGGAUAUUGCGCAAUGGGGGCAACCCUGACGCAGCAACGCCGCGUGAAGGAUGAAGGUUUUCGGAUUGUAAACUUCUUUUAUCAGGGACGAAGUUGACGGUACCUGAUGAAUAAGCUCCGGCUAACUACGUGCCAGCAGCCGCGGUAAAAC
rnacentral:rRNA from 1 species